rnacentral:tRNA from 1 species
GAUUGGUUAGUUUAAGUAAAACAUAAGUUUUGUAAAUUUAUGAUCUAUUGAUAAUUA